rfam:Alphaproteobacteria bacterium MedPE-SWcel Alphaproteobacteria-MedPE-SWcel-C26, whole genome shotgun sequence.
GGGAGAUUAGCUCAGCGGUUAGAGCAGAGCGCUCAUAACGCUUUGGUCCAGAGUUCGAAUCUCUGAUCUCCCA